GGCGUGCUUAACACAUGCAAGUCGAAUGACUUGCACCGGAUUAGUGGCGAACGGUUGAGUAACACGUGAGUACCUGCCCUUAACUUUGGGAUAAGCCUGGAAACUGGGUCUAAUACCGGAUAUGACUCCUAUCGCAUGGCUUUUGUGGUUUUGGAUGGACUCGCGGCCUAUCAGCUUGUUGGUGAGGUAAUGGCUCACCAAGGCGACGACGGGUAGCCGGCCUGAGAGGGUGACCGGCCACACUGGGACUGAGACACGGCCCAGACUCCUACGGGAGGCAGCAGUGGGGAAUAUUGCACAAUGGGCGCAAGCCUGAUGCAGCGACGCCGCGUGAGGGAUGACGGCCUUCGGGUUGUAAACCUCUUUCAGUAGGGAAGAAG
rnacentral:rRNA from 1 species